ACCUACGGGAGGCAGCAGUGAGGAAUAUUGGUCAAUGGGCGGAAGCCUGAACCAGCCAAGUCGCGUGAGGGAAUAAGGCCCUACGGGUCGUAAACCUCUUUUGCCGGGGAGCAAGGGCCGGGACGCGUCCCGGCCCGGAGAGUACCCGGAGAAAAAGCAUCGGCUAACUCCGUGCCAGCAGCCGCGGUAAUACGGAGGAUGCGAGCGUUAUCCGGAUUUAUUGGGUUUAAAGGGUGCGUAGGCGGGCUUUUAAGGCAGCUGUGAAAGUCCGCGGCUCAACCGUGGAAUUGCAGUUGAAACUGGAG
rnacentral:rRNA from 1 species